UUCAUUUUCUCAGUUUUUCCUACAUUAUCCAGAGAAAGUCACCUGAAAAUAAAAUUGGAAAAAGUUUAUGCGACAAGGAUCAUUUUUGUCCUCUGUUAUAAUUUCGGUUCACUAUUACCUUCGUCAUUACAAAACUGAUACAAAAUACCUCUCCUCCGCUAGAGCACUCCACUGUGGCCAACAACAUCCACACGGUCUGAUAUUUCACUGAGAUGAACACCACGUGGCAUGCCACCUCAUCGCCACUUCAAAUUAUAUUCUACCUCUCCCCAACUCCUUUUACUGAUGCUUACGGGAUUCUCCUAGAAGUGUAAGAUGGAUCGCCGGAGCCCCAACGUUCAAGAUACUAGGCUUUAGGAGGCCAUUUCGCGAGGCAAAGGCAUAUUGGAGUAAAGAAUUACACGGUUUGAGAUCCAGGUACUUCCAGAAAUGGCGGCUGCUAGAUAUCAGAGUUUCAUCUGUUGGAGACUAUCAAGGUAGUUUCUUGGCGUCCACAAACCUUGACUCUCUUUUUAUCAGUCAGGUUUUAUUAUUAGAUGCUCAUUUACUUAGUGAAAUCGGGUUUUGGGAGUGUAUUUAUAUCUGAAUUUGUGGGAUUUUCACUUUAAUUUAAAUUUUAUGUUUUUCAAACUUAAAAGAAAUUGUGGUUUAACGAA